rnacentral:rRNA from 1 species
UACAUGGGGUGCAAACGUUGCUCGGAAUUAUUGGGCGUAAAGCGUGCGCAGGCGGUGAUGUAAGACCGAUGUGAAAUCCCCGGGCUUAACCUGGGAACUGCAUUGGUGACUGCAUCGCUCGAGUAUGGCAGAGGGGGGUAGAAUUCCACGUGUAGCAGUGAAAUGCGUAGAGAUGUGGAGGAAUACCGAUGGCGAAGGCAGCCCCCUGGGUCAAUACUGACGCUCAUGCACGAAAGCGUGGGGAGCAAACAGG